rnacentral:rRNA from 1 species
AUUGAACGCUGGCGGCAUGCCUUACACAUGCAAGUCGAACGGUAACAGGUCUUCGGAUGCUGACGAGUGGCGAACGGGUGAGUAAUACAUCGGAACGUGCCCGAUCGUGGGGGAUAACGAGGCGAAAGCUUUGCUAAUACCGCAUACGAUCUACGGAUGAAAGCGGGGGAUCUUCGGACCUCGCGCGGACGGAGCGGCCGAUGGCAGAUUAGGUAGUUGGUGGGAUAAAAGCUUACCAAGCCGACGAUCUGUAGCUGGUCUGAGAGGAUGAUCAGCCACACCGGGACUGAGACACGGCCCAGACUCCUUACGGAAGGAGCAGUGGGGAAUUUUGGACCAUUGGGGGAAGGCUGAUCCAGCCAUGCCGCGGGGAGGAUGAAGGCCUUCGGGUUUGAAACUUCUUUUUUUCGGAACGAAAAACCCCCUUUUAAAAAAGAGGGGUCAUGACGGUACCGUAAGAAUAAGCACCGGCUAACUACGUG